rnacentral:rRNA from 1 species
CGAAGGAUGCAAGCGUUAUCCGGAUUCAUUGGGUUUAAAGGGAGCGUAGGCGGCCCUGUAAGUCAGUGGUGAAAUCUUUGGGCUUAACCCAAAAAUUGCCAUUGAUACUGCAGGGCUUGAGUACAGUUGCUGUGGGCGGAAUAUGACAUGUAGUGGUGAAAUACAUAGAGAUGUCAUAGAACACCGAUUGCGAAGGCAGCUCACAAAACUGUGACUGACGCUGAGGCUCGAAAGUGCGGGGAUCAAACAGGAUCAGAUACCCUGGUAGUCCGCACUGUAAACGAUGAUUACUCGCUGCUAGAAGGUACUUUUAGUGGCUUAGCGAAAGCGAUAAGUAAUCCACCUGGGGAGUACGCCGGCAACGGUG